rnacentral:misc_RNA from 1 species
GAUGAAGAACGCAGCGAAAUGCGAUACUUGGUGUGAAUUGCAGAAUCCCGUGAACCAUCGAGUCUUUGAACGCAAGUUGCGCCCGAAGCCAUUAGGCCGAGGGCACGCCUGCCUGGGCGUCACACGUCGUUGCCCCCCCAUCUACUCCUUCGGGAUUGCGGGGGGCGGAUGAUGGCCUCCCGUGCGCCUCGUCGCGCGGUUGGCAUAAAUGCCAAGUCCUCGGCGACGCACGCCACGACAAUCGGUGGUUGCGAAACCUCGGUUGCCCGUCGUGUGCGGUCGUCGCGCAUCGAGGGCUCGAAAAAAUUGCCGGGCUCCGGCUCGGCUUUCAACGCGACCCCAGGUCAGGCGGGGUUACCCGCUGUAUUUAAGCAUAUCAAUAAGCGGAGGA